AUUCAAAUGAAUUGGUCCUGUGCAUAAGGGAUUACUAUUUUUCUGUAAUUUAAUUACAGUUACUUCUUAUGUAAUUGAACUUAAUACUGUGUAUAGA